ACCCAUUUGUCCAGGACGCCCUUCUUUUUGAUGAGAGUCUGUCUCUGGGAAAGGAAUUGGGCUUCAAGGAAUACAUAAAAUUAAGUAGUAAAAAACAAAACAACACACAACGCAAUGCCACCCACUGCUGACGGGCAGGACCUUCUGGGGCUGGGUCCAUCUGCAUUGUGAUGAGAGCAGUUUGUGAGUGAUGUCAGCCUAAUUAGGCAGGCUAAUGUCUGGUUUCCUGGAGCGGGCUUUUGUGAAGUAAUUGGCUGCCUUGGGGUCAAAAUGCAGUAAUUAUAGGUCUUAAAAAAAAAAAAACAACUAUAUGAGAUAAACAGCCUUUGAAUUCUUCAAGCAAGUAAGCCAAUCACACCAAGAGACUUCUCUUUGUGCCCAGAACUGCAGUGGGUAUUUUGACAGAAGAUUCUGGAAGGCUACGAAAAACUAAUGAAGUUUGGAAAUGUCAUUUCCGUCUCGGGAGGCGUGGAGACUGGAUCAAAGCCAGCAGGAGCCUACUUGAGGCCUCCACUGAGUCCUUCAAUAGAGAACUGCUCGCUUAGAAGAGGCUUGGGAAGGAUAUGCAUGGUGGCGGUGCUGCCAACCUGGCAUGGAAGGUACAAGAGGCGUCCUGAGCAGGAGCAGGAACAGUGAAUUAGAAAGCAGCUAAUUCCACGCCUACUCCUGCCUCUCUGUGGCUCCCAAGGUCCAGCAGGCGCAGACCCAACGGAUGUCUCUGCGCAGAAUCUCCCUCACUUUCUGCUUCCACCGGCCGACUUCGUUUGUGCUGUUCCUGCUUCCUGCUCCAGUUACAGCCACAGGUUCUGCACACAUUCUUCUGUCUGCUUCCAGGUUCUUCUCCUCACUUUAAUCAGCCCCGUCCACCACCGCCAGAUAAUUAAAAAAACGAAAACAAAAACCUAAGCUUCCAUGUUAUCUACAACAUAUUCAACCUGAGCAUCAAGGUCUUACUCAGUCUGGGUCUUUCUUAGUCUUUUAGGAAUGAGAGGAGAAUUUCAAUCCAUUACGGGUUUCGGCCUCCCAAGACUCUAACGGAAGAGUGGCAUGGUGGGAGAAUGACGGAAGUGGAACUCUUGCCACUGGCUGGGUGUCCUGCUUCUAAAUGCAUGCCAAGGAAACACGAACGAUCAUUUUUACAAAUCAAAGCCGUGCAAGUCCCAUGGAGACAUAUUAGAACAUGUUUUCCUAGAUUUGUAAGCCAUAUGACAAUGACAUGGCUGAAUGGCACCUGAGGGAGCACCCAGCAGGUUACUAACUAAGGGGUGCUCUAUGUUGCCACUGAAGAGGUGGAAAAGGAAGGGUAGAGAAAGCCAGGGUGGUGAUCCUGAGAUGGAAGUUGGAUGAGAAGGCUCUG
rnacentral:lncRNA from 13 species